AAGAGGGCGACUGAGUCAAACCCAGGCUGACCCCAGCCCAUUUGCAUUCCCCAAACGCCUGCCUGACCUGAGGGUCCUUCUGGCUGCUGUGUUGACACCGUGGCAGGUGGGUGUCCAAGGAGGAGGCUAUCGCAGUAAUCCAGGAGGGAGGGAUGGUGGCUUGGACCAGGACUGUGGCUAUGGGGAUGGAGAGAAGUGCUCCGAUUCUGGAGAGACUUUGAAGGUAAAGCCAACAAGACUUGCUGGUGGUGGGUCACCUGUGGGGGUGAGGGAAAGAGGGAACUCAGGGCUGACCCCACGGUUUUGGGGCUGGCUAGCUGGGGGAUUCUACUCCCUGGAUCAGAAUCAGGCUUAGGGUAAAAUGAGGCACUCAGCUGUGAUCAGGGAAGUUUGAUGCACCUGUAAGCCAUGUAGGAGGGGAGUUGAGUAGAUAGUUGGUGACUGUGGCAGGCUAAAUAAUUCCUCCAAACAAGUCAGUAUCCGAAUCCUCGAA
rnacentral:lncRNA from 1 species